UGAUGACGAGACGCUAAGGCGUUGAAGCAGUGUAUGUCAGACUUCCAAGAAAAGCUCGCAAUGUCAUGAAUAAAAAAUGCCUGUACCAUAACCGACACAGGUGGGUAGGUAGAGUAUACUAAGGGGCGCGAGAUAACUCUCUCUAAGGAACUCGGCAAAAUGACUCCGUAACUUCGGGAGAAGGAGUGCCUUAUUUAUAAGGUUGCAAUAACAAGAUCCAAGCAACUGUUUAUCAAAAACACAGGUCUCCGCUAAGUCGUAAGACGAUGUAUGGGGGCUGACGCCUGCCCAGUGCCAGAAGGUUAAAGAAGUUGGUUAGUGUAUGCGAAGCUGAUGACUGAAGCCCUGGUGAACGGCGGCCGUAACUAUAACGGUCCUAAGGUAGCGAAAUUCCUUGUCGGGUAAGUUCCGACCCGCACGAAAGGCGUAAUGAUUUGGAUACUGUCUCGGAGAGAGGCUCGGUGAAAUAGACUUGUCUGUGAAGAUGCGGACUACCUGCACCAGGACAGAAAGACCCUAUGAAGCUUUACUGUAACUUGAAAUUGGAAUUGGACUUUGCUUGCGCAGUAUAGGUGGGAAGCGUUGAAGAUAUUCUUGCGGGAGUAUUGGAGCUAUCAGUGAGAUACCACUCUUGUAAUGUUAGAUUUCUAACUUUGAACCAUAAUCUGGUCAAAGAACAGUUUCAGGUGGGCAGUUUGACUGGGGCGGUCGCCUCCCAAAUGGUAACGGAGGCGUACAAAGGUUUCCUCUGAACGGAUAGAAAUCGUAUCUAGAGUGUAAAGGCAUAAGGAAGCUUGACUGUGAGACCUACAAGUCGAGCAGGGACGAAAGUCGGUCUUAGUGAUCUGACGGUACUGAGUGGAAAGGCCGUCACUCAACGGAUAAAAGUUACUCUAAGGAUAACAGGCUGAUCUCCCCCAAGAGUUCACAUCGACGGGGAGGUUUGGCACCUCGAUGUCGGCUCAUCGCAUCCUGGGGCGGUAGUACGUCCCAAGGGUUGGGCUGUUCGCCCAUGAAAGCGGUACGCGAGCUGGGUUCAGAACGUCGUGAGACAGUUCGGUCCAUAUCCGGUGUAGGCGCUAGAAUAUUGAGAGGAGCCUUCUUUAGUACGAGAGGACCGAGAAGGACACACCGCUGGUGUACCAGUUAUCGUGCCAACGGUAAACGCUGGGUAGCUAUGUGUGGAGUGGAUAACCGCUGAAAGCAUCUAAGUGGGAAGCCCACCUCAAGAUGAGUA
rnacentral:rRNA from 1 species